GAGGUGGAUUUGCACUGCUUGCAAGUUUGCAUAAAGUAAAAUGUGCCAACCAUUGAUUACAGAUUUAUCAUAUUAAAACGAGCCAAAACUAUUUGUGGGGUUUGUUGUUCAUUAACGCACAAACAACGUGUUACACAGACAGAUGACUGGGAUUUAUUGAACAUGGAAUAUAUAAAAUUAUUCACUCUAUCAAAAUUCAUUCAUGUCUUCCCUCGUUUAAAAAAAAUCAUGCAGCAGAUUUACCAGAUUCCUAUUUGGGCUUUACUUCUAAUUACUGGGAACUUUGGGGUUAAGUUACAUAAUGAUCCAAUUUCAAAGAAGUUCAACCGUGUAUUGUCUAUUCCUCAGACUAAGGGCAUCGAUGUAGUGUCUAAGAGUGUGCCCAAUUAUUCCAAGGGGGGUAUCACGGCUGUCCUGGGAGACGUGCUCUGUAGAUCCUGUUGUACAUUACAAAGAAAACGGGAAAAGGACAAAUGUGUUCUGAAAUUCUGUAUAAGUAGAGUGCACUGUAUCUAAACCGUGCAGGAGUUUAAAUGAAUAUACAGCCACGUGGAACAUGCCAUCUGCAGUAUGAUUUAGAUUAUGGAACAGUGGCAACUUUCAGGAAAUUAGAUUGGUUAGAGUGUAAAUCUGAAGAAAGAAAGGAUACAAUGAGUACUUUAUUGUUUUAUGAUUAUUUAUAAAUUUGCGGGACAAAUGUGCAUUUGAUAUUUAUUCAUUAGGAUAUGUACAUCAUAAUUAUGUUAAUUGAACAUGAAAUGUAGAUGGGAUACAAGACUGUAGUUUUGUUUAUUGGAUGUGUAUGUUUUAUACUGCAAAGAACUGAUUGGAUAUUUUACAUAAAUAUGUAUUCUGAUA